AUACGAGCUUGGAAUGCCAUUCUUGCCGAGUCGAAUCAAAGAUGGAUUUAAAGACCGAAAUCAAUUUGGAGAUGGGAUUGAAGAUAGAGUCGCAACUAUAUUCUUGCCCAAGGAGGAUUUCAGAGCCUGCAAUUGAGAUUUCUACACAAACUGGGUGAGGAUUUCAUCCUUUGUUUCACUCCUUUGUGUUGAUUUGUGUACAACAAAACUGAAAUUUUCUUCUUGGUCCUUCUCAUCGGCGACUCGGGGAAUUGAAUAUUGUUUUCUGGUGUUGUGAGGCCGAACAAGGCAAAGGGGGAACUUUGCAUCUCAUCGUGGUCUGGCAAUCCAAGCCUCUGGACUCCCAACAUUGCUUUCGUUUUGGUGCCUUUGGUCUGAAAGUACAAAACAAGUACAGGAGCUGUGGUGUCAAAAAUUUUAGAGUUCCAGACUUUUGACUUUGACGGUAUAAGGCGAGGAUAGCAGCUGCAGUUGAGAUCCCAGAGUUUCAAUUUCAGGGUGAGGCUUUCUUUUUGUUUACCCACUGGUGUGUUUAGAAUAGGUGCUCUGAAAUGGAGGUUGGGACUGGCUCUUUUUGGCUAUGGAGUUUGGAAAAGAAGCAGGGAGGAAUUAUAUGUGGUGUUUAA